CCAGCUCCUAGAAGGGUUGCAAGUGUGGCUGCUGUGUCAUUUCUGCAUCAGGAUGUGGCAGAGAAGAGAGAGACAAAAAAAAAAAAAGACCUUCAGUGUUCUGACCUAUGAUUAAUAGCCUAACAGU
ensembl:snoRNA Gm22724 predicted gene, 22724